rnacentral:rRNA from 1 species
AUUUUGGACAAUGGGCGCAAGCCUGAUCCAGCCACGCCGCGUGAGUGAUGAAGGCCUUCGGGUCGUAAAGCUCUGUGGGGAGGGACGAACCGCUGCACGUUCAUAGCGUGCAGCAUGACGGUACCUCCUUAGCAAGCACCGGCUAACUUCGUUCCAGCAGCCGCGGUAAUACGUAGGUGGCAAGCGUUGCCCGGAUUUACUGGGCGUAAAGGGCGUGCAGGCGGUCUGUUAAGUCUAGGGUGAAAGCUCCCGGCUCAACUGGGAGAGGUCCUUGGAUACUGGCGGACUUGAGGGAUGCAGAGGAAAGUGGAAUUCCCGGUGUAGUGGUGAUAUGCGUAGAUAUCGGGAGGAACACCAGUGGCGAAGGCGGCUUUCUGGGCAUUUCCUGACGCUGAGACGCGAAAGCGUGGGGAGCGAAC